rnacentral:lncRNA from 1 species
GGACCCGACAGAGAGGACAUUAGCUGAAAUACCCAAAAAAAGGGGAGAGAGAACCUAGAGACCAUAUCCAGUGGAUAGGUACAGCCUCUGUUUGAGGGAAGGGGCCACCCACCCACCUCAAAAAUAUCAAUCCAGAAUUGCUCCUGUCAAAAGGAAAUGCAGGGACAGAAAGUGAAGCGGUGACUGCCACACAUGGGGAUCCAUCCCAUCUGCUGACACCAAACACAGACACUAUUGCUGAUGCUAAGAAGUGCUUGCUGACAGGAACCUGGUAUAGCUGUCCCCUGAGAAGCCCUGCCAGAGCCUGGUUAAUACAGAUGCGGAUGCUCACAGCCAACCAUCAGACUGAGCAUGGGGACCCCAGUGGAGGAAUUAGGGGAAGGACUGAAGAAGCUGAAGGUGUUUGCAACCCCAUAGGAAGAACAACAAUAUCAACUAACAAGACCCCCACCACCACCCAGCUCCCAAGGACUAAACCACCAACCAGAGUACACAUGAAAAAGUCCUUGGAUCCGGAUGCACAUGUAGCAGAGGAUGGCCUUAUCUGACAUCAAUGGGAGGAGAAGCCCUUGGUCCUGUGGAGGCUCGAUGCCCCAGUGUAGGGGAAUGUUAGGGUGGUGAGGUGGGAGUGGGUGGGUGGGGGAGCACUCUCAUAGCAGCACAGGGAGGGGGAUGGGAGAGGGGGUUUGUGGAGAAGAAACUGGGAAGGGAAAUAACAUUUGACAUGUCAAUUAAUAAACUAAUCAAAAGAAAAAAAA